rnacentral:rRNA from 1 species
AUGCAGUCGAGCGGACAGAUGGGAGCUUGCUCCCUGAUGUUAGCGGCGGACGGGUGAGUAACACGUGGGUAACCUGCCUGUAAGACUGGGAUAACUCCGGGAAACCGGGGCUAAUACCGGAUGGUUGUUUGAACCGCAUGGUUCAAACAUAAAAGGUGGCUUCGGCUACCACUUACAGAUGGACCCGCGGCGCAUUAGCUAGUUGGUGAGGUAACGGCUCACCAAGGCAACGAUGCGUAGCCGACCUGAGAGGGUGAUCGGCCACACUGGGACUGAGACACGGCCCAGACUCCUACGGGAGGCAGCAGUAGGGAAUCUUCCGCAAUGGACGAAAGUCUGACGGAGCAACGCCGCGUGAGUGAUGAAGGUUUUCGGAUCGUAAAGCUCUGUUGUUAGGGAAGAACAAGUACCGUUCGAAUAGGGCGGUACCUUGACGGUACCUAACCAGAAAGCCACGGCUAACUACGUGCCAGCAGCCGCGGUAAUACGUAGGUGGCAAGCGUUGUCCGGAAUUAUUGGGCGUAAAGGGCUCGCAGGCGGUUUCUUAAGUCUGAUGUGAAAGCCCCCGGCUCAACCGGGGAGGGUCAUUGGAAACUGGGGAACUUGAGUGCAGAAGAGGAGAGUGGAAUUCCACGUGUAGCGGUGAAAUGCGUAGAGAUGUGGAGGAACACCAGUGGCGAAGGCGACUCUCUGGUCUGUAACUGACGCUGAGGAGCGAAAGCGUGGGGAGCGAACAGGAUUAGAUACCCUGGUAGUCCACGCCGUAAACGAUGAGUGCUAAGUGUUAGGGGUUUCCGCCCCUUAGUGCUGCAGCUAACGCAUUAAGCACUCCGCCUGGGGAGUACGGUCGCAAGACUGAAACUCAAGGAAUUGACGGGGGCCCGCACAAGCGGUGGAGCAUGU